CUGAUCAUUCCUUUCUGGCCUGAGCCUUGGCAGUGCAUCCCGCGUGUGGUUCUGUGCCUGCUUGGAUUGGUUGGAUGUUGUUUCAAGAUGUCGUGCCAGUGUCAUGCUGGCCAGAGAUGAUCCUGACAACCAUCCCUGCUCCAGGUUAUAUCAGGAGCAUCCCGGUCUACACUAGGGUGCACCUGUUUGUGUCUGACUCUCUCCAGCUCCCAUCUGCUGACCACCAACUCUCCUCUUACCUCCUGCAUGACCUCCUUUGCUUUACAUGUUUCUGAGAUGACCAUCUGCUUAACAGCAUCAGAGCUGACAUUGAUCGGGCCCAACCUCGCCCCCCAUCAGAUGUGGAAAUUGAAUUUCUUCUGGAGUGUUCUUGCCCAAGGUUGUACCAUCUCUCCUAUAACACAGCCUCAGUUAUUUGAGAACCACACUGAGGCUCAGAACUCCGAUUUUUGUGUUCAGGGUGACUCCAGGAUAGUGCUUCUCUUUGUGAUGCUCUUGCAAUAACAACAUUCUUUUUGUUUUCCUUGAUCUUUCUCAGUCUGUGGAUAUUUCAGCUUGCAAGGUAAAAUAAUAUUUUUGCUCAAUGGCCAGUUUUUAAAAUCCUCCCUGGCUCUGCUAUGACACUACAUUAAACACACACACACACACACACACACACACACACACACACACACACACACAAUCUUUGUUUCCCAUUGGUUCUGCUUCGCAUUUCCUCUCUCUUCAGUUUUUCCUUAAUCUCUGUCCACAUUGACUUUGAUCCUUGAACUC
rnacentral:lncRNA from 1 species